GCUUGCGGCCAUACCAGCCCAAGAACGCCCGGGUCUCGUCUGAUCUCGGAAGCUAAGAAGGCUUGGGCCCCUGCUUAGCACUUGGAUGGAGACCUCCUGGGAAUACCAGGUGCUGUAAGCU
ensembl:rRNA 5S_rRNA 5S ribosomal RNA